GACAGAGGGUGCGAGCGUUGUCCGGAAUCACUGGGCGUAAAGGGCGCGUAGGUGGCGGCCCAAGUCCAUGGUGAAAGCUCGAUGCUCAACAUCGAGUCGGCCACGGAUACUGGGUUGCUCGAGCACUGUAGGGGCAGAUGGAAUUCCGGGUGUAGCGGUGGAAUGCGUAGAGAUCCGGAAGAACACCGGUGGCGAAGGCGGUCUGCUGGGCAGUUGCUGACACUGAGGCGCGACAGCGUGGGGAGCAAACAGG
rnacentral:rRNA from 1 species